rnacentral:rRNA from 1 species
ACUCAAAUGAAUUGACGGGGGCCCGCACAAGCGGUGGAGCAUGUGGUUUAAUUCGACGCAACGCGCAGAACCUUACCAGCCCUUGACAUGUCUGGGACCGGUCGCAGAGACGCGACCUUCUCUUCGGAGCCCGGAACACAGGUGCUGCAUGGCUGUCGUCAGCUCGUGUCGUGAGAUGUUGGGUUAAGUCCCGCAACGAGCGCAACCCCCGUCCUUAGUUGCUACCAUUUAGUUGAGCACUCUAAGGAGACUGCCGGUGAUAAGCCGCGAGGAAGGUGGGGAUGACGUCAAGUCCUCAUGGCCCUUACGGGCUGGGCUACACACGUGCUACAAUGGCGGUGACAAUGGGAAGCGAAGGCGCAAGCCCUGGCAAAUCUCAAAAAACCGUCUCAGUUCGGAUUGGGCUCUGCAACUCGAGCCCAUGAAGCUGGAAUCGCUAGUAAUCGUGGAUCAGCACGCCACGGUGAAUACGUUCCCGGGCCUUGCACACACCGCCCGU